AGCGGGGUCCAACCAACAUGGAGUAGGCAACAGGAGCUUAAGCCUGGGCAGCCAUCCUUCUGUUUUAGCCUCUUGCAGAGCUCGAGAAGGCGUUAUCUUCAGUUUCGCUUAACGGGUGGGGAAACCUCGACCUUAAGCGGCUAGGUAAUUACUCAAGGUCACCAAGCUAAGUGUCAGAGCCAGGAUUCUCACCUCUCCUCGACCCGGAUCUGGCUCUGCCCAAAGCGCGCCGGCCUCUGCGGGAGAGGACGCCCCAGAGGGCAGAGUCUCUUCAUAGUUGGAAGUUAUGAAAUUGGAGAUCCGGGAGCAAUAUAAUACCAGUUCUAAUUCUACAUAAUCUACUACUCCUAGGAGAAAGAGGCUGGCCUGGUUGAAUUUGACAAGGUUGACUGUUCUGUGACCAAGGAGGACAUAAUAAAUCACGGCAUUUGAAGAACAUCCUGAGUUCAAAG